AUUGAACGCUGGCGGCAGGCCUAACACAUGCAAGUCGAACGAGUGGCGGACGGGUGAGUAAUGUCUGGGAAACUGCCUGAUGGAGGGGGAUCACUACUGGAAACGGUAGCUAAUACCCCCUACCCUCGGAUGUGCCCAGAUGGGAUUUGCUAGUAGGUGGGGUAAUGGCUCACCUAGGCGACGACCCCUAGCUGGUCUGAGAGGAUGACCAGCCAGACUGGAACUGAGAAACGGUCCAGACUCCUACGGUAGGCAGCAGUGGGGAAUAUUGCACAAUGGGCGAAAGCCUGAUGCAGCCAUGCCGCGUGUAUGAAGAAGGCCAGCGGGUUGUAAAGUACUUUCAGCGGGGAGGCGUUACCCGCAGAAGAAGCACCGGCUAACUCCGUGCCAGCAGCCGCGGUAAUUC
rnacentral:rRNA from 1 species